UCAAAGCAGUACCGAUCGUCUUUUCUGGACUGGCCUCCGUGCCGAGAUUGGCCUCCUUGCCGCCUCUAUCUCUGACCUCUUCUUCCACCCCCGCUCCGGCCCCUCUCCCUCCCAUCUCCGGCGGCCACGGCGGCCGGCGGUGAGUGGGUGGGGGGCUCGGUUCUUGUGCCAUAUGUAUAGUUGUAGGAGUAGGACUUUCCUCCACAGUAAACCAGAUCUGAGGCCUUCUUUCUUGCUUCGUGGGAUCUUUGUUUUGGCCAUACUGACUGGAAUAAAGGUCACCGGAGCUGACCAUAUGCCUGGAUCUGUUGCUCUUCCCCUAAAUAAAGGUGUGGAUGAAGGUUCUGGUGUGCUUGAUUCGGAUUUUUCUUCUUCCCGAGUCGCUCUUGUCUUCAUGGAGAAGAGAAGAGAGGCAGAGGAGGUGAAGAAUGCCUGGAUCUGGCGUUGUAUGUCGUGUAUCUCCCUGAUGUGGAAAAGGAUCUUCCACUCAUUUUCGAUUCCGGAUGCCGCCAUGGUGGUGGAUAAGGAGAAGGGGAGGAGCAGAGAGAUGGAAACAGCAGAUGGGGUGAGAGCUCACCAUCGAUGGUGCUUUAGGCAAGGCUACGGUGCCCGUGAUUGGCAGCCGGCCUUUCUCGCCUCGCCAUCGAUUCUUCUGGCCGAAAGGCGGCCAUGGUUAUUCCUCCCGGCCUCGAUGCCAAAGGGGAGGCAGGGCGAUCAAAUACUGGCAAUCAACUACAUAUCUUCAGCAUUUCACUGAAAAAAUAGGACAAACAAGCAAGAAUACACUGAAGCAGUAUCAUCCAAGCAGCUCAAAGCAAGUCUCCAAGCAGCUCAAAGCAAGAUCAUGCCGGGCAACGACCUCACUAUGCAUGCCGUUACUGUCGGUGGCGUCUUUGUUUACAUGCAUGACAGAAGCAACUUACGGGGCAUGAAGAAGACAAUAACUGUUGCACGUGCUUGGUCCCAAGCUAAGCUACGCCCGCCUGAAUUAGAAAUUGGCGAAGCGCGUUAUUGUAUCAUCACUUAUGUCUGAAUUAGAGUAUAUGAUAACCGUCUUGCAAACAAAAUAUUCAGUUUCUCUGUUCCUAUAAGAAAAAUAGAAAACCAGAAGCCAUCAGUGUGUAAUGCCAUCUAUCAACACAAGGCCAUAAAUUUUAUUUAACUUUGAA